rnacentral:rRNA from 1 species
CCUAGCUGUAAACGAUGGAUACUACGGUGUAGCUCGUAUCGACCCGAGCGGAGCCGAAGCUCACGCGAUAAUGUAUCCCGCCUGCGGGAGUACAGCACGCAAGCGCGGAACUACAAAGGAAUUGACGGGGGCCCGCACAAACGCUGGAGUAAUGAGCUUUAAAUCGACGCAACGCGAAGAACCUUACCAGGGCUCGACAAGUCCGGAAUCCCGGUGAAAGCAGGGAGCGACCUUCGGGAGCCGGAACACAGGUGGUGCAUGGCUGUCGUCAGCUCGGAUCGUGAGAUGUUGGGUCAAGUCCCGCAACGAGCGCAACCCUCGUCUUUAGUUGCCAGCAUUGAGUUGGGCACUCUAGAGAGACUGCCCGUGACAAACCGGACGAAGUUGGGGAUGACGUCAAGUCAGCAUGCCCCUUACGCUCUGGCCGACACACGUACUACAAUGGUCGGGACAGAGGGCACGCGAACCUGCGAAGGCAAGCUCAUCCUAGCGUACUCGGCCUCAGUUCAGA